AGCUAAGGCCAUGCCACCCUCAACGAGCCAGAUCUCGUCUGAUCUCAGAAGCUAAGCAGGGUCAGGCCUGGUUAGUACUUAGAUGAGAGACCCUCUAGGAAUACCAAGUACUAUAUGCA
rnacentral:rRNA from 1 species